rnacentral:rRNA from 1 species
UGUCGGGCGUCUUCACAAAGUACCUGCAUUCAGAGAAUCAUGUCGGCCAGGCCGAUGUGAGAGUCCCUUUUGGGGCCUUAGCUCAGCUGGGAGAGCACCUGCUUUGCAAGCAGGGGGUCGUCGGUUCGAUCCCGACAGGCUCCACCAUGUUUGAGUUUGUUCCGGAAAGUUUUUNNNNNNNNNNNNNNNNNNNNNNNNNNNNNNNNNNNNNNNNNNNNNNNNNNNNNNNNNNNNNNNNNNNNNNNNNNNNNNNNNNNNNNNNNNNNNAGUGGCCAUAGAAGGUGAUAGCCCUGUAUCUGAAAGGGCCAUUUCAGUGAAGACGAGUAGGGCGGGGCACGUGAAACCCUGUCUGAACAUGGGGGGACCAUCCUCCAAGGCUAAAUACUACUGACCGACCGAUAGUGAACCAGUACCGUGAGGGAAAGGCGAAAAGAACCCCGGAGAGGGGAGUGAAAUAGAACCUGAAACCGUGUGCGUACAAGCAGUAGGAGCUCCGCAAGGAGUGACUGCGUACCUUUUGUAUAAUGGGUCAGCGACUUACUGUUCGUGGCAAGCUUAACCGUAUAGGGGAGGCGAAGGGAAACCGAGUCUGAUAAGGGCGCAUAGUCGCGGGCAGUAGACCCGAAACCGGGUGAUCUAGUCAUGCCCAGGGUGAAGGUGCGGUAACACGCACUGGAGGCCCGAACCCACUCCCGUUGCAAAGGUAGGGGAUGAGGUGUGAUUAGGAGUGAAAAGCUAAUCGAACCCGGAGAUAGCUGGUUCUCCUCGAAAGCUAUUUAGGUAGCGCCUCAUAUGUAUCCUCUCGGGGGUAGAGCACUGUUAUGGCUAGGGGGUCAUCGCGACUUACCAAACCAUUGCAAACUCCGAAUACCGAGACGGACUGUAUGGGAGACACACGGCGGGUGCUAACGUCCGUCGUGAAAAGGGAAACAACCCAGACCCACAGCUAAGGUCCCAAAUUUUGUGCUAAGUGGAAAACCAUGUGGAAAGGCACAGACAGCCAGGAGGUUGGCUUAGAAGCAGCCACCCUUUAAAGAAAGCGUAAUAGCUCACUGGUCGAGUCGGUCUGCGGGGAAGAUUUAACGGGGCUAAGCACAGAACCGAAGCUUGGGGUGCAUAACUUUGUUAUGCGCGGUAGAGGAGCGUUCCGUAAGCCGUUGAAGGUGGAUUGAGAAGUCUGCUGGAGGUAUCGGAAGUGCGAAUGCUGACAUGAGUAACGAUAAUGCGGGUGAAAAACCCGCACGCCGAAAGCCCAAGGUUUCCUUGCGCAACGUUAAUCGGCGCAGGGUGAGUCGGCCCCUAAGGCGAGGACGAAAGUCGUAGUCGAUGGGAAGCAGGUUAAUAUUCCUGCACCUCGCGUAAGUGCGAUGGAGGGACGGAGAAGGUUAGGUGUACCAGGCGUUGGUUGUCCUGGGGAAAGGCGGUAGGUUUGGAUCUUUGGCAAAUCCGGGAUCCUUUAAGACCGAGCACCGAGACGAGCCUUUAUGGCGAAGUCACUGAUACCACGCUUCCAGGAAAAGCUCCUAAGCUUCAGCUUACGCAGACCGUACCGUAAACCGACACAGGUGGGUAGGAUGAGAAUUCUCAGGCGCUUGAGAGAACUCGGGUGAAGGAACUAGGCAACAUGGCACCGUAACUUCGGGAGAAGGUGCACCCUUUUUGGUGGCUCGUGCGAGCUAUAGCUGAAGAGGGUCGCAGUAACCAGGCCGCUGCGACUGUUUAUCAAAAACACAGCACUCUGCAAACACGAAAGUGGACGUAUAGGGUGUGACGCCUGCCCGGUGCUGGAAGGUUAAUUGAUGGGGUCAGCCGCAAGGCGAAGCUCUUGAUCGAAGCCCCAGUAAACGGCGGCCGUAACUAUAACGGUCCUAAGGUAGCGAAAUUCCUUGUCGGGUAAGUUCCGACCUGCACGAAUGGCGUAACGACAGCGGCGCUGUCUCCACCCGAGACUCAGUGAAAUUGAAAUCGCUGUGAAGAUGCAGCGUUCCCGUGGCAAGACGGAAAGACCCCGUGAACCUUUACUAUAGCUUUACACUGAACGUUGAGUUCGUCUGUGUAGGAUAGGUGGGAGGCUAUGAAACUGUGGCGCUAGCUGCAGUGGAGCCAUCCUUGAAAUACCACCCUGUCGUGCUUGACGUUCUAACCUGGGCCCAUUAUCUGGGUCGGGGACCGUGUAUGGUGGGUAGUUUGACUGGGGCGGUCUCCUCCUAAAGAGUAACGGAGGAGCUCGAAGGUACGCUCAGCGCGGUCGGACAUCGCGCACUGUGUGCAAAGGCAUAAGCGUGCUUGACUGCAAGAUCGACGGAUCAAGCAGGUAGGAAACUAGGACUUAGUGAUCCGGUGGUUCUGUAUGGAAGGGCCAUCGCUCAACGGAUAAAAGGUACUCCGGGGAUAACAGGCUGAUACCGCCCAAGAGUUCAUAUCGACGGCGGUGUUUGGCACCUCGAUGUCGGCUCAUCACAUCCUGGGGCUGUAGUCGGUCCCAAGGGUAUGGCUGUUCGCCAUUUAAAGUGGUACGCGAGCUGGGUUCAGAACGUCGUGAGACAGUUCGGUCCCUAUCUGCCAUGGGCGUUGGAGAUUUGAGAGGGGCUGCUCCUAGUACGAGAGGACCGGAGUGGACGAACCUCUGGUGUUCCGGUUGUCACGCCAGUGGCAUUGCCGGGUAGCUAUGUUCGGAAGCGAUAACCGCUGAAAGCAUCUAAGCGGGAAGCGCGCCUCAAGAUGAGAUCUCCCGGGGCACAAGCCCCCUGAAGGAACCAUGUAGACUACGUGGUUGAUAGGUCAGGUGUGUAAGUACAGCAAUGUAUUGAGCUAACUGAUACUAAUGAUCCGUGCGGCUUGACCAU